rnacentral:rRNA from 1 species
UACUAAGCGGAGGAAAAGAAACUAACUAGGAUUCCCUCAGUAGCGGCGAGCGAACAGGGAAAAGCCCAGCACCGAAUCCCGCGAUUGUAACCGGUCGCCGGGAAAUGUGGUGUUAAGAAGGAUCCGUUAUCUCGAGAUUUAGUGAUGCGUCCAAGUCCAUCUUGAACGGGGCCAUUACCCAUAGAGGGUGCCAGGCCCGUAGCGACCAUUACUGAUUUCGAGAGGGUCUCUUCUGAGAGUCGGGUUGCUUGAGAGUGCASCCCUAAGUGGGUGGUAAACUCCAUCUAAGGCUAAAUAUAACCACGAGACCGAUAGCGAACAAGUACCGUGAGGGAAAGUUGAAAAGAACUUUGAAGAGAGAGUUCAAUAGUACGUGAAACCGUUCAGGGGUAAACCUGAGAAACCCGAAAAGUCGAAAAGGAAGAUUCAUUCGCGGCUCGAUUAUUGGUGUGCGAUUUUUAAGUGACAAACAACGUUUCGGCGUCGUUUGCGCUAUUAGUUGCGAUCCGGUGUCGAACGCGUGCACUUCUUCCUUAGUAGGACGUCGCGAUUCGUUGAGUGUCGAUCUAAGGCCCGCGUGGAAGACCCGUAAACGUCGAUUUUAUCGUCUGUUUGCGGAACCGUGGUGUUUCCUGAUCGACUUGCUCGACGAUGUACAGAUGGCGCGGAGCGCGAUUAUAGUUCGCGUUCGACUUGCGGCAAACGAGUUCGGUUGUGUCGGUGUAUCGGACCUUGUGCCGGUCCUGGCCACGAACAGUUGUUAGCUGUAAUGUUCUCGAACAGACUUCGUUGUAACGCCGAUCUGCGACGCUAUUGUUUUGGGUACUUUCAGGACCCGUCUUGAAACACGGACCAAGGAGUCUAGCAUGUGCGCGAGUCAUUGGGACAUUAUUAAACCUAAAGGCGUAAUGAAAGUAAAAGUUCGUCUAGCACGAACUUAGGGAAGAUGGGCAAUCUUUAAUGUUUGCUCCGCAUUCCCGGGGCGUCUCGUUCUCAUUGCGAGAGGAGGCGCACCAAGAGCGUACACGCUGGGACCCGAAAGAUGGUGAACUAUGCCUGGUCAGGAUGAAGUCAGGGGAAACCCUGAUGGAGGUCCGUAGCGAUUCUGACGUGCAAAUCGAUCGUCGGAACUGGGUAUAGGGGCGAAAGACUAAUCGAACCAUCUAGUAGCUGGUUCCCUCCGAAGUUUCCCUCAGGAUAGCUGGCGCUCGUAGCUAACGAGUUUCAUCCGGUAAAGCGAAUGAUUAGAGGCAUUGGGGUCGAAAUGACCUCAACCUAUUCUCAAACUUUAAAUGGGUGAGAUCUCCGGCUUGCUUGAAUAUGAAGCCGCGAGAAUUGAACGAAUCAGAGUGCCAAGUGGGCCAUUUUUGGUAAGCAGAACUGGCGCUGUGGGAUGAACCAAACGUCGAGUUAAAGCGCCCAAAUCGACGCUUAUGGGACACCAUGAAAGGCGUUGGUAACUUAAGACAGCAGGACGGUGGCCAUGGAAGUCGGAAUCCGCCAAGGAGUGUGUAACAACUCACCUGCCGAAGUUACUAGCCCUGAAAAUGAAUGGCGCUGAAGCGUCGUGCUUAUACUCGACCGUCAGAGGCAUGUGCGGUCGCGCUUUGCGAGGCCAUGAAGCCCUGACGAGUAGGAGGGUCGCGAUGGUGAGCGCAGAAGGAUUGGUCGUGAGACCGUCUGGAGCCGCCGUCGGUGCAGAUCUUGGUGGUAGUAGCAAAUACUCCAGCGAGGCCCUGGAGGACUGACGUGGAGAAGGGUUUCGUGUGAACAGCCGUUGCACACGAGUCAGUCGAUCCUAAGCCCUAGGCGAAAGCCGAUGUAAAUGAGGUGUCAUGAAUGUUUAAAUGUUUAUUCACACCCAUUGGGCGAAAGGGAAUCCGGUUCCUAUUCCGGAACCCGGCAGCGGAACCGUCUUAAAUUCGGGCCCUUGCAAAAGAGUUCGUCGGGGCAACCCAAACGGACCCGGAGACGCCGUCGGGAGAUCUGGGAAGAGUUUUCUUUUCUGUAUGAGCGUUCGAGUUCCAUGGAAUCCUCUAGCAGGGAGAUAUGGUUUGGAACGCGAAGAGCACCGCAGUUGCGGCAGUGUCCGGAUCUUCCCCUCGGACCUUGAAAAUCCGGGAGAGGGCUACGUGGAGACGUCGCGCCGGCUCGUACCCAUAUCCGCAGCAGGUCUCCAAGGU